rnacentral:misc_RNA from 1 species
CGCACAUUGCGCCCUUUGGUAUUCCGAAGGGCAUGCCUGUUCGAGCGUCAUUAUCACCCCUCAAGCCCUCGGCUUGGUGUUGGACGGUUUGGUGGAGGGCCUUCGGGCGCCACCCCUCCCAAAGACAAUGACGGCGGCCUCGUUGGACCCCCGGUACACUGAGUUCUUCACGGGACACGUAUCGGACACACGGGUUUACGGGACACGGUCUGCCUCCCCUCAGGGAGAAUCUUUCUCAAGGUUGACCUCGGAUCAGGUAGGGAUACCCGCUGAACUUAA